GGUGAAUGGAUCCAUUUUGGAGACCACCACUCUAGACAGUUCCUACUGCUCCUGUUAUCUGUACUGCUCUUUUCUCCUUUAUUUCACAAAGAACUUCUUAAGAUCCUAAGAAAUGCAGCCUCAAUUAGAGCUCCGCAAUGCACUCUAGAAGGGAACUCAUCUGGAUUCCCUUCACCGGGUAGAAAGUGCAGCCCUCAGCCAGAAACACUACCUCUGACUGCCAAGGAUCCCACACAGCAUCCAGACUAUUCAGUCCACCGACUCUCUACUAUUUAUCUUAAAUCGUAUCUUGUUUCCACAGAAAAACAAAUCUGUUUCCACAAAAGAAGAACAAGAGCUGGAGACAUUGGAAGUUUAUGGGCUAGAGAAGGCAGCUCCAAGAAGAAAAGAAUCUGGUGAUCAGUGACACCCUCCUGAGGGGGCCCAGAUGCAAGCCAGAUGCUGAAAGUCUGUAGAGACACGUUAGGCUCAAUGAAAGGACUGUUAUGCCAUGACUUUCAUCCAUGUGGGCAUGGAGAAUAUUGACUGAUCUCACUCAGAUUAUUAAGAGUGACUUCAGGGCUCUGGAAACAUGGGUGUAGGAGGCUGGGGCUCAAGGGGUGGUCUUGACAAUCCUCCCAGUUGAGCAAAAGAGUUUCUGUAGAUGAUGUAGAUGACAGCCUGCUCCAGUGAUGGAUGCCUACUUCACAUGCCUUGCCUCACGUGCCACCCCCAGAAGAGCGCUCAGCAAAAACCACUGGAGAUACUUUAAUGGGAGUGAUUUGAGAUUUCUGUCUAUGUAGAAAUCAUCUCUGGCGACUUUUAUUUGGUGUUACUAAAGUUAUUUCAAUGGGUUCCUAACUACAGUGGUUAUUCCUACAGUCACCUUUCUUCAGUCAGCCGGUAUGGCUAGUUUCUUUUCUGGCUGGACUUUCGACACCCUGCUCAACCUUCCAUUCCACCUUUGAAUAAGCAUGUCUUGUCCUUCUAAACAAAUAAGGAUGGUGAAGCUUUCUUUUUUUGUGAUUGGCACAUUAGUAUAACUCUUUCUAAAAAAGGGCUAAAUGCAAGAGCUGAGCCUUGGACACAGAAAAUAUAAAGUUGAUUGUUGCUGUUUCCCUGCCUUCAGUUUCCCCCCCACUCAUUUCUAGUCAGGUCUUUCCACCACAGCCAGAGUGACAUUUCUACCUUCGUCCCUGUUGAGUUAAUUUUCUAUUGCUGCUAUAACUAGUUGCCACAAACUCAGCAGCUUACAACAAUACAAAUUUAUUCACAGUGUUGUAGGUCAGGAGUCUGAUAUGGGUCUCAGUGGGCUAAAAUCAAGGUGUUGGCAUGGCUGUGUUCCUUCCUGGAAGUUCUAGGGGAGAAAUCUUUCCCUUGCUCUUUCCAGCUUCUGGAGGCUGUCCAUGUUCCGCUUCCA
ensembl:lncRNA